CCCGGAGAGGGAGCGGCCGGUGAGGCGGCCCCGCUGGCCGCUGACCGGUGGCUUGCGUAAUCCGCCAUCGAUCCGCUGUGCCGUGGGUGGGGCUGCUCGGCCAGCCUGGAGAGGAGGCUGGAGAAGGGAAGAUGUCCUCGGAAUCUUUCUGUCUGGCUGCUCAAGCCAGGUUUGACUCCAAAUGGCUGAAGACAGACCUGCAGCUUGCUUUUACACGAGACGGACUCUGUGGUUUGUGGAAUGAAAUGGUAAAAGAUGGGGAGAUCAUGUAUCCUGGAACAGAAUUUACACAGAAUGGUGAACUACCUCCAAGAAAAGGUAUGACUUUUCUUAAAUG